UAAUUAUAGUUACAUACUGAGAUAUAGUAAUGGAAGAGAUAUCAACAUCACUGGAAAAAAUGGGGAGGACACAGUGAACCACACAGUCUCAUCUCUCUCUGCUGGGACUAAAUACUCUUUCACUCUCUUCACUGUGUUUGAAGAAGUGAACAGCACAGGGUAUGACCUCUUAACUGUUACAAAAUUCAACUGUUCUACCUCACACUGGACCGUCAGCAAUUUCACCAUAGAGGCAGAGGUUCUGGGGGCCUUCACCAUGGCAACAGCUAAUAAUGGGAGUGAUGGUGAUGUGACUGGCACUGUGGUGGGAAACAAAGUGACCUUCUCUCACCUUAAUCCUGGGGAUACUUACAGUGUGUCACUCUAUUAUGAGUUGGAUCAGGAGAAACUCCCACAGUGCACACACAAUUUAACUUUUGUUACAGUUCCUGCGAUAGUGCCCGAUUUUAGUUGUAACAGUCGAGACUAUUCUCUGAGUCUGAAGUGGGAGAAACCAAUUGGUGAGUGGAGUGGAGUGGAGGUGAAUUUGAGUGGGAAAAGUUUUAAUUCAACAUCAGAUAAUGAACUGACAGUGGAUGGGCUGCAGCCUGCACAGACCUACAGCAUCAGCAUCACAACACUCUCUGGAGCCACGAGGGGAUUAACUCAACCUUUCAGCUGUCAA